rnacentral:rRNA from 1 species
AUGACGUUAGCGGCGGACGGGUGAGUAACACGUGGGCAACCUGCCUGUAAGACUGGGAUAACUUCGGGAAACCGAAGCUAAUACCGGAUAGGAUCUUCUCCUUCAUGGGAGAUGAUUGAAAGAUGGUUUCGGCUAUCACUUACAGAUGGGCCCGCGGUGCAUUAGCUAGUUGGUGAGGUAACGGCUCACCAAGGCAACGAUGCAUAGCCGACCUGAGAGGGUGAUCGGCCACACUGGGACUGAGACACGGCCCAGACUCCUACGGGAGGCAGCAGUAGGGAAUCUUCCGCAAUGGACGAAAGUCUGACGGAGCAACGCCGCGUGAGUGAUGAAGGCUUUCGGGUCGUAAAACUCUGUUGUUAGGGAAGAACAAGUACGAGAGUAACUGCUCGUACCUUGACGGUACCUAACCAGAAAGCCACGGCUAACUACGUGCCAGCC